AAUAAUUUAUGGAAAUGUAGCAAGAUGGAUUUUUCUAGAAAGGAGCUACAUGAACUUCAUUGUAGACUAAGAGGAAUGCUUCGAGGGUCUUGACCUGACCCGAACCAUGAACCCAAACUCAACUGAACCACAUUGAUUUGCAAAACUGCCUGUUGAAAUUGAACCCACCUAGUAACUGGAGCUGAGGCACACACUGAGAUGUGUCUUCGAAAACUGGACUUGGCCUGCUGUUAUUUUGAAAGGUAAUUAAGGUUUGUAAGAAUGCCUCUGACCGGUUGGUCAUCAGAGGUCUGUGUGUAACAUGAGUAGAAGCACAUGCAGUGUGACCAAAAUAAUUAAAGAAGAGAAAAACCA